AAAAAGGGCUUCUGUCGUGAAUGCACAUGUGGGGCAAUUCAACCGCUCUUCGUGUGGAAUCAACAUCAAUAGAUUUUGAAAACAUAAUUUUUUGGUACCUGGGCAGCUGGUGGGAAAAAAAAAAAAAUCCUAGUGGAUCA